rnacentral:rRNA from 1 species
UACGGAAGGGGCUAGCGUUGUUCGGAAUUACUGGGCGUAAAGCGCGCGUAGGCGGCUUAGCAAGUUGGGGGUGAAAUCCCGGGGCUCAACCCGGGAACUGCCUUCAAGACUGGAAAGCUCGAGGAUGUAAGAGGGUAGCGGAAUUCCCAGUGUAGAGGUGAAAUUCGUAGAUAUUGGGAAGAACACCUGUGGCGAAGGCGGCUAACUGGUGCAUUACUGACGCUGAGGUGCGAAAGCGUGGGGAGCAAACAGG